CCUACGGGUGGCAGCAGUGGGGAAUAUUGGACAAUGGGCGAAAGCCUGAUCCAGCCAUGCCGCGUGUGUGAAGAAGGCCUUCGGGUUGUAAAGCACUUUCAGUGGGGAAGAAAGCCUUGGGGCUAAUACCCUCGAGGAAGGACAUCACCCACAGAAGAAGCACCGGCUAACUCCGUGCCAGCAGCCGCGGUAAUACGGAGGGUGCUAGCGUUAAUCGGAAUUACUGGGCGUAAAGCGCGCGUAGGCGGUCUGAUAAGCCGGUUGUGAAAGCCCCGGGCUCAACCUGGGAACGGCAUCCGGAACUGUCAGGCUAGAGUGCAGGAGAGGAAGGUAGAAUUCCCGGUGUAGCGGUGAAAUGCGUAGAGAUCGGGAGGAAUACCAGUGGCGAAGGCGGCCUUCUGGACUGACACUGACGCUGAGGUGCGAAAGCGUGGGUAGCAAACAGGAUUAGAUACCCUGGUAGUC
rnacentral:rRNA from 1 species